GGCAGCAGAGCUCUGGUACAAUAACCUCAUUUAUGCCUUAUUACAGGAAAGUUAAUCAUGCUUUUGUUUGAGUUGCAAAAUGUUUCUCAAAAGGAAAGCAGGCGUUCGACCGAGACAGCGCUUCCAGAGCGUGGACCGAAUCUGUGUCUGUUGUGAAAGGUGUCUCAACUCAGUCCUUUAAAGAUCAAAUGAAGGCUCCGUCUGUGAGUGAACAGAAUGCCACGGUGCCCUCUCUUCCUCUGUCAAACCCAUCUUACACUCAGAAAAGCCAGGAAAAAACACAGCUGAACCACAGCCAGGAUGUCCAAUUUCUCCAGGAACCUGGUCUGUCCGCACACAUCAGUAUCCCACAGCUAGCAGGUCAGAGCAUUUUACUUGAGAGCUUUGAGCUGAACCAGUGUAUGUUUAAGACUCAUAGGUUCUUUUAAAGGUCACAUUUGAACCACAGGAGAACACUGAUGCAAAAACAUGAUUUGUUACAUUGCAUUAGCACAUGACUCAAUGUGUAAUUGGGGCUAUUAGCAUGUUUUCUAAGGCACAUGGACUUGAGACUGAGUCUGGUCGUGUCCAGACUUGAGUACUGCAAUACUGCCAAUUUUUUUUUCUACAUACAUGAAUUAUACCUUAAAUCAUGCUGUUUAUUGGAGAGCAGUGCAUUCUUACUUUUUUAAAGCAUUCAGACUUAAGGAUUCGCCAUGUUGACCGAAAGAAAGCUGGUUUCUGGUUAAACUGUGUUUGUACAUAAACUACACUAUUGACGAUAGAAAAUUUACCUUCUUUUGACCCCCAAAACAAACAUUGAAAAAAGGAGUAAUUUCUAGGGCCAGAGUAUUAGUAUUAGAGUAUGGGCAAAAUACUAAAAACCACUCAGAACGUGUUAGGAACCACAUUUAAGUAACUUAGUGUUGUGAUGGCAAAUUUUGAGCUGGAAAGAACCAAAAAUCUAAGUACAAGUAAAUGCUGAGAAACAUGACUUUAUGUGAUUUUCCUGUAUUGGUGUUCUGUAUUUGUUUUAUGGUGUUGCAGAGGAAGACUGGUCCAGACUAGUAGCACUAUCUCCUCUAUUCCAACUGAUGAAGGAAGUGGAGCAACAGCUCAGGGAUAGUGCCAGAGAUA
ensembl:lncRNA